rfam:Colletotrichum fioriniae PJ7 Scaffold_341.1, whole genome shotgun sequence.
GGCCGGUUGGCCCAAUGGCAAGGCGUCUGACUACGAUUCUUUCGACUAUAUCAUGCGGCUUGGGCUGCACGAGGAUAUGUGGGAGUAAAUAGGUAUCAGGAGAUUCUGGGUUCGACCCCCAGGCUGGUCA